rnacentral:lncRNA from 1 species
AAUAAAAAAAUGAAAUAAAAAAAAAGUAAAUGAAAAUACUUCAUAUCGCUGAAUAUGUUAUUUGUUUAUUCUUGUAGAGAACGUUUCUUCGAUUGUCCGCGGAAUAAUAAUUCGUGCAACAGUGUAUGCGAUUCUUCAUUUUUACAUACGUGCGUUGCAUACACGCGAUAAACGCAUUUAUCUACAUUCAUGCAGGUGUCUACUUGUAUGCAUUGAGCGCGCGUAAAAUGAAAUUUCAUUGUAUAUAAUCUAAACACAUAUACACAUGCGUUUCUCCUGCAUAUUCCUUGAAGAAAAGUCACAUAAACAUGUCUAUAAUUGUAAAGCUUAUCAAAUUACAAUCGUUCAAGUUAACGUUAAUAGAAAAUAUUCUUUUUAUAAAAUAAAAUUAACGUAACAGAAAAAAAUAAAGUGAAAAUCGGAGCAUUUGAUCUACAGGAAGAUGAUUUUACGAAGGCUUUUAAGAGGGGCCUGAUUCGGACUCAUGUGAUUGGUGGUCCGAGCAUGUCACGUGGCGGUAGUUUACGUGGGUGGGGGCCGGAGACGCGGCACCGCGGGCGAAAGCGGUGAGUUUCGUUCUAGUAUUUACCUCGCAGUGCGAAGAUACUUUACUCGCGGUUGUUCUAGUGUAUUCUAUAAGCUGAUCUGUGGGUUCUGUGAAUCAGCGUUACCAAAAUGGCCGUCGAUGUCGGGUUCGAUCAUCGAACGUACAAGCUUUGAUAAAACAUCGAAGAGAUUGGGGGCUGUCGAUAAACGUAAAUUCUUAUAAAAA